GACGGAGGAGGCAAGCGUUAUCCGGAAUUAUUGGGCGUAAAGCGUCCGCAGGUGGCGAUUCAAGUCUGCUGUCAAAGGUCGGGGCUUAACCCCGGGAAGGCAGUGGAAACUGAAUAGCUAGAGUGCGGUAGGGGCAGAGGGAAUUCCCGGUGUAGCGGUGAAAUGCGUAGAGAUCGGAAAGAACACCAUUGGCGAACGCGCUCUGCUGGGCGUGCACUGACGCUGAGGGCCGAAGGAUAGUCGGCGGGAAGGG
rnacentral:rRNA from 1 species